rnacentral:rRNA from 1 species
GGGAUUGCCUCAGUAACGGCGAGUGAAGCGGCAACAGCUCAAAUUUGAAAUCUGGCCCUAGGCCCGAGUUGUAAUUUGCAGAGGAUGUUUCUGGCGAGGUGCCUUCCGAGUUCCCUGGAACGGGACGCCAUAGAGGGUGAGAGCCCCGUACGGUUGGUCGCUAAGCCUCUGUGAAACUCCUUCGACGAGUCGAGUAGUUUGGGAAUGCUGCUCUAAAUGGGAGGUAUACGUCUUCUAAAGCUAAAUACCGGCCAGAGACCGAUAGCGCACAAGUAGAGUGAUCGAAAGAUGAAAAGCACUUUGAAAAGAGGGUUAAAUAGUACGUGAAAUUGUUGAAAGGGAAGCGCUUAUGACCAGACUUGGACCGGUUGAUCAUCCAUCGUUCUCGGUGGUGCACUCUGCCGGUUCAGGCCAGCAUCAGUUCGUCCCGGGGGAUAAAGGCUUUGGGAAUGUGGCUCUUCGGAGUGUUAUAGCCCACUGCGUAAUACCCUGGGAUGGACUGAGGUUCGCGCUCCGCAAGGAUGCUG